CAUGGAUCGCCUUACCUUCUGUUAGGAGUAAGAAGGGUAAAUUAGUCUUUACCACUUUUAGGGUUUAUUUUUAUGUAUAUAUAUUAAAGUUUAUUGAAUAAUACAAAGUAACUUUUUUCUACAUGGUAUCAGAGCUUAGGGUUUAACCCUAGACGACGGAGCAGCCGCCCGCCGUCGUCGACAUGCCGGACCGCUGUCAACUCGCCACCACCGUUCACCGGAAUAGGGCUUCUCCCUCGCGGGGCUCACUCGCGUUGCUCGCGCAGCUCGCGCGGCUCACUCGCGUGGUUCGCUCGCGGGGCUCACUCGCGGGGCUCGCUCGCGCGGCUCGCUCGCGGGGCUCUUUCGCGCGGCUCGCUCGGCUCGCGCCGCUCACGCUGCCCACACGGCUUGCUCGCGCGACUUCUGCGUGCUUGUGCUUGUGCUUGUGCGAUUUGCUGGCCUACCAGGGGUUUUGACGACCCUAUGCUUGUUGGAUUUGGUGGUGUAGCUGUCCCGCUUCUUGUACGUGAGGUUGGUGAAGGAGAGGGAAAACCCUAAAGAGAGAAAGAAGACAAGUUGCAGUAGCGACAGAGUGCAAUAGCACUCAUCGGGAUGAUUUUGUGGGUUAGAAUUUGCUUUAAAGUUGCUGAUUUGGCUGAUUUGGUUGAUUAAUGAAGCAAGUUGCUGCUUGGAUAUAGUGCAGUUAUUUAUUUGAUGAUUUGAAAGUUGUGUGGUAGCAUCUGUCAUUUUAUUUGGCAGUGGUAAUAUUGGGUUAUUGAAUUGUUGAGGCUGAGUUGUUUGACAGAAGCUAAGGUCAGAGUUUGCUUAUUCUUAUUUGGAAAAUGGGCGAUGAGAAGAAUAAUACUGUGAUGAGUGAGGUGAUUUCCUCUUCAUCUAAUCGAAUUACUGAUAAGAAGCUCGUAGGUAGUGCUAACUUCCACCAAUGGAAGAAAAUUGUGAAGCUUCCUUUGACAGGCAGGAAUCAACAUAGACACUUAACUGAGUUUAAGCCCAGAGAUGAUGUAACUUGGGAUGGUGUUGAUGCACGUAUUCUUGGUCAAAUGCUGAAUUCUAUGGAGAGUAAUAUAGUUGACAUGGUAACUCAUAUUGAUACAGUCAGAGAACUAUGGGAGUAUUUGAAUGUGCUGUAUUCUGGGCAAGAUAAUUUAUCACGGAUUUAUGAGCUGUCACAGGAGUUUUAUCGAUUUGAAAGAAAGGGGCGCUCUAUUACUCAGUGCUUUGCAGACUUUAAGAGAUUGUAUGAGGAGUUGAAUGCUGUUCUCCCUAUUUCAGCUGAUGUUCAACAAAUGCAACGUCAAAGGGAACAAUUGGCUGUAAUGGGAUUCUUAGGAUGUCUUGGUUCUAAAUGUGAAAAUGUUAGGUCUCAGAUUCUUGGAGGAGAGAAUAUAGCAUCACUCACAGAUACAUUUGCUCGAGUUCUUCGAGUAUCUCGUGAGUCCUCUCAGGAUACUAAAUCUAUGGUGGGGAGUUCAGCCCUUGUGUCCCAGACUCGAACUAGUAGUGGUAAUAGGAGUGAUGGAGGAACCCGUGGCGGGUAUAGUGGGCGUGGUGUCCGAGGAGGAGGCCGAGGCAUUGGAAUAGGGAGAGGUCAAGGUAAUCAGCAUCCUUAUGGACAAUUUCAUAUAUCUACUGAUAAUUUGGGAACUACACGAGUUUGUCAUUACUGUGGCAAACCUGGUCGUAUUCAAAAAAUUUGCUACAAGCUACAUGGGAGACCAGGGCAGCAGCACCAGUUUGCUAAUACGGUGUCUAAUAUUGACCCUACUCCAUAGUCAUCUGAAGACAAGGUGGUGGUUAUGUCUGGUGAGGAAUAUGCUCGGUACACACAGUCUCAAAUCUCACAGCCUAUUUCUUCCACUGCUACUUUGGCUCAGACAGGUAAUGCUACUACAUGUCUUUUAGCUACUUCUCGUCCUUGGAUCAUUGAUUUAGGGGCUUCUGAUCACAUGUCAGGUCUUUCAGGUAUAUUUUCCUCUUUUUCUCCAUCUUCGUCCAUAGUUACUCUAGCCAAUGGGUCACCUACACAUGUUAGGGGAAUUGGCACAGUUAACCCAAGUCUUUCAUUACCUUUGUCAUCAGUGCUUUAUCUUCCACAAUUUCCAUUUAAUCUAAUGUCUGUUAGUAAGUUAACCAAAAACUUUCAGUGUUCAGUAACUUUUUAUCCUGAUUCUUGUGUCUUCCAGGAUCUGGCUACGAAGAAGACGAUUGGUAGAGGACGUGAGGAAGGGGGGCUGUAUGUACUUGAAGAUGCUUCUUCAGUUGCUUGCACAAGUGUUGCGUCCCCACAUCAAAUCCAUUGUCAUCUUGGUCAUCCUUCUCUACGUAGUCUUCAAAAGUUAGAUUCUAGUUUUCAAUCUCUUUCUAGUCUAGAGUGCGAGUCAUGCCAACUUGACAAAUUACAUCGUGUUAGUUAUACACCUCGAGUCAUUAAACGAUCAGCAUCUCCUUUUUUAUUAGUUCAUUCAGAUAUUUGGGAUCCAUGUCGUGUGGUUUCCAAUUCGGGUUUCAGAUAUUUUGUUAUUUUUGUCGAUGACUAUUCCAGAGUUACUUGGUUAUAUUUAAUGAAAGAUCAUUCAGAAUUAUUUUCUAUUUUUCGUGCAUUUAUAUCUGAAAUUCAUACUCAAUUUGGCAUGCGUGUUAAAGUUCUGCAUUCUGAUAAUGCUAAGGAGUAUUUUUCCACAUCCUUUUCUGAUUUUAUGACUCAACAUGGUAUGAUCCAUGAAUCUUCCUGUCCUGAUACUCCACAACAGAAUGGUAUUGCUGAACGGAAGAAUAGGCAUUUAUUGGAAAUUACUAGAUCCAUGUUAUUUGAGAUGAAGGUACCGAAAACCUUUUGGUCUGAUGCUGUUCUAACUGCAUGUUAUCUCAUUAAUCGCAUGCCUUCUUCUAUUCUGCAAGGUGGUAUUCCUUUUUCCACCUUGCUUCCUAGUGAACCACUGUUUGUCUUACCACCCCGUAUCUUUGGUUGUGUCUGUUUUGUUCGUGAUCAUCGACCCGGAGUAUCAAAACUUGAUCCCAAGGCACUCAAGUGUAUGUUUAUGGGUUAUUCCCGCACUCAAAAGGGAUAUCGCUGUUAUUCUCCAUUACUGAGAAAAUAUUUUGUAACAGCUGAUGUUUCAUUUUUUGAAUCUACUCCUUAUCAUAAUGUUCCAAUUGAUGUGUCUGAAUUAGAUGAAGACUUGUAUGUGACCAUCAUUCGGUCUACUAUUCCUAAUGUUUCACCAGUAUCUACAGAGAAACCACCUCCUCUCCAGGUUUAUACACGACGUCAUCGUGAUGCUACUACUGCUCCCCCUGCUCCUCAUGUCACUACUACGUCGACUUCAGCUCUAGAUCCGCCAUUAGAUGUCCCUCCUCGUGUAUAUGAUCUUGAUCUUCCUAUUGCUCAUCGCAAAGGUACACGUAUUUGUACUCAACAUUCUAUUGCCAAUUUUAUUUCUCAUUCUUAUGUGUCUCCUACUUUUCGAGCCUUUUUAACUACCGUUGAACAAUAUCCUAUUCCCAAGUCUGUCGCUGAGGCGUUACAAAGUUCUGGUUGGAGGACAGCAAUGGAAGAAGAAUUACAGGCUCUUGAGAUUAAUCAAACGUAUUUUGAUCUCUCUUGCUGCAAUGUAUAAUUGGCCUUUAUUUCAGCUUGAUGUUAAGAAUGCUUUCUUGAAUGGCACUCUUCAUGAGGAAGUUUAUAUGCAGCAACCUCCAGGGUUUGUUGCUCAGGGAGAGUCUGGACUAGUUUGCAAAUUAAAAAAAUCUUUAUAUGGUUUGAAACAAUCUCCACGAGCAUGGUUUGGAAGAUUUUCUGAGGUUGUAUUGUCUUUUGGGCUAUCAAGAUGUGGGAAUGAUCAUUCUUUCUUUUAUAAACAAUCAAGGGGAGGCAAACUAUUCUUGAUUGUGUAUGUUGAUGAUAUUAUCAUCACGGGAGAUGACUUGGUUGGUAUAGCUGAGCUAAAAGCCUAUCUUCAGCAACAGUUUCAAACUAAGGACUUAGGAAAAUUGAAAUAUUUCCUAGGAAUCGAAGUGGCACAAUCACAAAAAGGUGUUGUUCUAUCACAGCGAAAAUAUGUCUUGGAUUUGCUCACUGAGACAGGUAUGUUGGGAUCAAAGCCUCUUGAUUCACCCAUGGAACAAGGGGUUAAAUUAGUUGCUGAUAGAGGAGAAAUUCUUAAUAAUCCCGAGAGAUAUAGAAGACUGGUAGGUAAGCUGAAUUAUCUUACAGUUACUCGACCAGACAUUGCUUUUCCUGUCAGUGUAGUAAGCCAGUUUUUGUCUUCCCCUCGUACAUCUCACUGGGAUGCAGUUAUUCGGAUAUUGAGGUAUUUGAAGAAAGCUCCGGGAAAAGGAAUUCUCUACCAAAACCAUGGUCAUAACAGAGUUGAAGGUUUUUCUGAUGCUGAUUGGGCUAGGUCUCCAGACGAUAGAAGAUCAACUACUGGAUAUUGUACCUUAGUCGGAGGAAAUCUGGUAUCAUGGAAAAGUAAGAAACAAAGUGUUGUUGCUCGCUCUAGUGCCGAGUCAGAAUAUAGAGCCAUGGCACAAGUGACGUGUGAAUUAGUGUGGAUUCGACAGUUAUUGACUGAGUUAGGCUUUAAAGAUUUAGUACCCAUGACUCUGUGGUGCGAUAAUAAAGCUGCUGUGCAUAUAGCUUCCAACCCCGUGUUUCAUGAGAGAACAAAACACAUUGAGGUUGAUUGUCAUUUUAUCCGAGAGAAGUUGCAAAAUGGAGUAAUUCUUCCCAGUCAUGUUCGAACCAGUGAACAACUUGCAGACAUCUUUACUAAGUCCUUGGGUAAUGGGAGGAUAGAACAUAUUUGUAACAAGCUGGGCAUGAUUAAUAUUUAUGCUCCAGCUUGAGGGGGAGUGUUAGGAGUAAGAAGGGUAAAUUAGUCUUUACCACUUUUAGGGUUUAUUUUUUAUGUAUAUAUAUUAAAGUUUAUUGAAUAAUACAAAGUAACUUUUCUCUACACCUUCAUUAGUUCCAGCAGAAGAGUUUCCCUUAAUGAGUUUUCUGCCUUCGAAAGUUUAGUAUUCGCAUUGCUUUUCAAUAAAUAAAUAGCAGCUCGAAUCAAACUUAGUUUAUACUUCUGGAACCCCAUGUUCGGGUAAACUUAAACUAGCAUAGUUGGGAAAGAAAAUGUUCAACCUACUGGCAGGGUGGGACCUCAUAGAGAAAGCUUUGAAGAGACAUGAUGGAUAUUACGCAAUUGCUUCGUUGUCAAA
rnacentral:lncRNA from 1 species